UGCCGCACCGCUUCCCUUCUGGGGCAGCGGCCAGGCCGCAGGUCGCCUCGGGGCGGUUCAGGGAACAGAGCUGUUAUGACACCCUGCCCCAUCUUGGACCGGUCACACUGCGGAGGCUCAGUAGCCACUUGUGUCUGGGAGAUGAUUUCAGCCAGUGUGGAAGCUCUCCGAGAGAACAAUUCAUGAGCUUUUGUUACUGGGUCCCCAGUGCUUCAAGCAAAGCCUGUCUUCAAGUAAAUAGCAUUCCUCUCUCUGCACCUUAGUGAGCGUCCACAUCAGCCUUUGGGCUUCCAGACUGCGUGCAAAUGAAGAGGAAGGAAAAGAGCCCAAAAUUUGGAGCAGAGGGAUCUGGAUUCAGGUUCUGACCUGACAGCUCAUGGCUAUGAAGUCUUGGACAGCUCAGACUAAAGCUCCCUUCUUCUCUUGUUUCAUUCCUGCCUGUUCUUCUCCCCCUCCUACCCCCGUAACCAACAACCCCAAUAAAGAGAAGGAGGGAGUAAAGUCCAGAGCUCGGACUGAGGGCUGGGCAGGCGGCAGCGUCCUCAGCAGCAGUCUGUGAGCACCAAGCUGGGCCACCUGCUUCAUUCUCAUGGGCAAGUGGGUUCUCGAGCAAAGCCUGGGGUCCCGGGUUGAAGGUUAUUUCUGAGGCUCUUUUGUGGCUACAACUCGCACUUUUAGAUUACGACCUAAGCUUCCAGGACUCUCAGCUGGGUGUGGUCACACACACCUAUCAUUCCAGCACUGGGGGCGCGGGGAGGCAGAACUGUAAAUUGGAGAGCUUGGACAAUUUAGCAAUUUAGCAAGAUCCCGUCUCAAAAUAGAAAAAAUAAAAAUUAAAAGACGGAGAAAUGGCCCUGGGUUCAGUCCCCAGUACCACAGAGGGGAAAAAAAAAAUCCUUUCAGGACUUUCUGAGACACCCAGAUAUAAAUCAGAACACUGAGUAUCUUUAAUCUCGUCUGGCACUCAAGUAUCUGUAGCAUGUGUAACCAGGGGAGCUCUUAAUAAACUUAGGUAAACGGAAAAGUACAGAGGAUUUCUAGACAUUGCACACCUGCCUCAGGGUUUAUGUUGGAAUAGGGGAUCUCAGAUUUUUAUAUUGACUGGACCACCAAGGAAAGAUCCUCUAAGAUCUAAAUAUAGAAAACUGGAAUUUUUUUUUGAAACAGGGUCUCACUCUGUAAUUCAGGCUGGCCUUGAAUUCACUAUAUAGCCCAGGCUGGCCUUGUCUUACAGCAAUCUCCU